UAUAUGCCUGGACCGGAAGUGCACGGCCACCUUUUCAAUUUACAGUUUCAUAUUGAGUUUGACUAAUGGUCGAGGGUCGAGGGUCGAGGGUAGUAGGUCGAGGGUAGAAUGUCGAGGGUCGAAAAAAAAUGUCGAGGGUCAAUUUUUUGUCUCUAUGAUUUGUUCGCAAAUUUUUAGUAACAGAAUCAAAUACUUACCAUUACACAUACGUAUCACACUUAAUUAAUUUGCUUUAGCCCAACGUCAAUGUUUUAGCCCUAUUAUGGAAUUUGCCAUGGCGCAGAGUAAGUUAAACGCAAAGUUUAGUUUGAACAAACAGAUAUGUUUUAUACGCCGAUGUAUACUAAGUAACGAAUAAACCCUAAUUUGAUCAUUAUCAACAUUAUGAAGUUAACUGAUCAAAUUUCGAUCGCUGCAGUCAAAAGGCUUAUUAAUAAGGUUUCACAUGCCAUUUGAUAAACAUAACAUAACCCUUUGCGACCUUUGUGCACUCAUGAUUUCAGCAAUCAUUACGAUCCACAAAAGCGAUAUACAGGGUGUCCCAAAAAACCCGAAAACUAUUGGAAUCACUUAUUGUUAAAUUUGAAUGCCCUACCAAACAGCUGGACGUAAUGAUGCGUAAAAUAUUGACAAGGCGCAUGUAUUAGAAUUUAGUUAGGAAUAUCUCCUGGCAAAGUGCGCGAUUUUCUGCUCCUGGG